rnacentral:rRNA from 1 species
GACGAACGCGGCGGCGUGCCUAAUACAUGCAAGUAGAACGCUGAAGGAGGAGCUUGCUCUUCUGGAUGAGUUGCGAACGGGUGAGUAACGCGUAGGUAACCUGCCUGGUAGCGGGGGAUAACUAUUGGAAACGAUAGCUAAUACCGCAUAAUAGUAGAUGUUGCAUGACAUUUACUUGAAAGGUGCAAUUGCAUCACUACCAGAUGGACCUGCGUUGUAUUAGCUAGUUGGUGGGGUAACGGCUCACCAAGGCGACGAUACAUAGCCGACCUGAGAGGGUGAUCGGCCACACUGGGACUGAGACACGGCCCAGACUCCUACGGGAGGCAGCAGUAGGGAAUCUUCGGCAAUGGACGGAAGUCUGACCGAGCAACGCCGCGUGAGUGAAGAAGGUUUUCGGAUUGUAAAGCUCUGUCGUAAGAGAAGAACGAGUGUGAGAGUGGAAAGUUCACACUGUGACG